AAGUCGUAACAAGGUUUCCGUAGGUGAACCUGCGGAAGGAUCAUUAACACGUAUCCAAACGUUAACCCCCCUGUGAACCUUCAAUGUGCUCGUACACUUUGUCAAAGCGAGGCAAGAACAGUUUUGAUUCUGGGACUUCCUCAAAGAGUGUGCAUGUUGCGCGAGGCAAGUGGCCUGGCAUUCCCAAGCAGUUAAUGUCUGAAAGUGUCAUUAGCUGUGUAAGGAUGACGCAGUAACGAUCGUUGGAGGCCGACACGGCCGACGACCGGGUCACCGGGCGCAAGCCCCUUUAUCACCACUUAAUGCAUGACAGACGCGCCAGCGCUUAAUUGUGCGGCGACCAAAAACCGAACAACUGUUAACAAUGGAUAUCUUGGUUCUC
rnacentral:misc_RNA from 1 species